AGUGAAGCGGCAAAAGCUCAAAUUUGAAAUCUGGUACCUUUGGUGCCCGAGUUGUAAUUUGGAGAGUACCACUUUGGGACUGUACUUUGCCUAUGUUCCUUGGAACAGGACGUCAUGGAGGGUGAGAAUCCCGUGUGGCGAGGGUGUCAGUUCUUUGUAAAGGGUGCUCGAAGAGUCGAGUUGUUUGGGAAUGCAGCUCUAAGUGGGUGGUAAAUUCCAUCUAAAGCUAAAUACAGGCGAGAGACCGAUAGCGAACAAGUACAGUGAUGGAAAGAUGAAAAGAACUUUGAAAAGAGAGUGAAAAAGUACGUGAAAUUGUUGAAAGGGAAGGGCAUUUGAUCAGACAUGGUGUUUUGCGCCCCUUGCCUCUCGUGGGCUUGGGACUCUCGCAGCUCACUGGGCCAGCAUCGGUUUUGGCGGCCGGAAAAAACCUAGGGAAUGUGGCUCUGCGCCUCGGUGUAGAGUGUUAUAGCCCUGGGGAAUACGGCCAGCCGGGACCGAGGACUGCGAUACUUG
rnacentral:rRNA from 1 species